GAUGAACGCUGGCGGCGUGCCUAAUACAUGCAAGUCGAGCGAACGGACGAGAAGCUUGCUUCUCUGAUGUUAGCGGCGGACGGGUGAGUAACACGUGGAUAACCUACCUAUAAGACUGGGAUAACUUCGGGAAACCGGAGCUAAUACCGGAUAAUAUUUUGAACCGCAUGGUUCAAAAGUGAAAGACGGUCUUGCUGUCACUUAUAGAUGGAUCCGCGCUGCAUUAGCUAGUUGGUAAGGUAACGGCUUACCAAGGCAACGAUGCAUAGCCGACCUGAGAGGGUGAUCGGCCACACUGGAACUGAGACACGGUCCAGACUCCUACGGGAGGCAGCAGUAGGGAAUCUUCCGCAAUGGGCGAAAGCCUGACGGAGCAACGCCGCGUGAGUGAUGAAGGUCUUCGGAUCGUAAAACUCUGUUAUUAGGGAAGAACAUAUGUGUAAGUAACUGUGCACAUCUUGACGGUACCUAAUCAGAAAGCCACGGCUAACUACGUGCCAGCAGCCGCGGUAAUACGUAGGUGGCAAGCGUUAUCCGGAAUUAUUGGGCGUAAAGCGCGCGUAGGCGGUUUUUUAGUCUGAUGUGAAAGCCCACGGCUCAACCGUGGAGGGUCAUUGGAAACUGGAAAACUUGAGUGCAGAAGAGGAAAGUGGAACUCCAUGUGUAGCGGUGAAAUGCGCAGAGAUAUGGAGGAACACCAGUGGCGAAGGCGACUUUCUGGUCUGUAACUGACGCUGAUGUGCGAAAGCGUGGGGAUCAAACAGGAUUAGAUACCCUGGUAGUCCACGCCGUAAACGAUGAGUGCUAAGUGUUAGGGGGUUUCCGCCCCUUAGUGCUGCAGCUAACGCAUUAAGCACUCCGCCUGGGGAGUACGACCGCAAGGUUGAAACUCAAAGGAAUUGACGGGGACCCGCACAAGCGGUGGAGCAUGUGGUUUAAUUCGAAGCAACGCGAAGAACCUUACCAAAUCUUGACAUCCUUUGACAACUCUAGAGAUAGAGCUUUCCCCUUCGGGGGACAAAGUGACAGGUGGUGCAUGGUUGUCGUCAGCUCGUGUCGUGAGAUGUUGGGUUAAGUCCCGCAACGAGCGCAACCCUUAAGCUUAGUUGCCAUCAUUAAGUUGGGCACUCUAAGUUGACUGCCGGUGACAAACCGGAGGAAGGUGGGGAUGACGUCAAAUCAUCAUGCCCCUUAUGAUUUGGGCUACACACGUGCUACAAUGGACAAUACAAAGGGCAGCGAAACCGCGAGGUCAAGCAAAUCCCAUAAAGUUGUUCUCAGUUCGGAUUGUAGUCUGCAACUCGACUACAUGAAGCUGGAAUCGCUAGUAAUCGUAGAUCAGCAUGCUACGGUGAAUACGUUCCCGGGUCU
rnacentral:rRNA from 1 species